CCGUGUAAAACUCAACUGGUUAAAGGCAGGAACGUUGGGGUCUCUCUAACCCUAAGCCUGGUACCACGUUGUGACGGCUGAGUCCUCAGCAUGGGCGAAGUGGGAAAGAGAUUUUUCAGCCUUUGAGUGUGCUGUGCGUGGUUUCAAUAUUGCAGGAAUCGCUUCUCUUCCCAGCACGGUGCAGCCACUUUGGGGCAGGAAUGCUGUAAGGAAUCUCACUCGGUCCUUGGAUAAGGAAAUGAUCAAGGACUUGCCUAUUCACAAUUAAUGGAGAAAAAAAAAAAAAAAAAAAAAAGAGCUGAGGGCCUUUAUUAAUUAUUGCACAAUAAGGAAGUCAUACUGGUUUGGCUCCUUUCAAGAGGGCUCUUUGGUCACACCUACCUAAGUGGUUUGGCAUCCCAACCAUCUCCCCGCGCACGGCCAGGGAGGAGGAGGAGGAGGAGGAGGAGGAGGAGGAGGGAAGGGCCCUGACGCCCGCCCGUGUGCCACCGCGGUGCCUGGCCCCCGGCUCGCGGGACGGGGGGAGCUCCCAGUGCCCGUCUCCCUGUCCCGGAGGACCGGGCAUCUCUUUUUAGAGAUCUCUGCCCCACGCACACACCGGGACCAGCCGGCCCCAUGCUCCGGGCGCAGGUUUCCACCCUGAGCCCCGGCAGCAAAAAGGAGCAGAAAUUCAAGCGUGCCCUGUGCCGGAGUUUCCCCCCUGCCAGCUGCGGGGGGUCCCUGCUUGGCUGUGGGGAGAGGGUCCUCCCAGGGGUGCUGCCACCCGCCCGGUGACCCUGCCCGCUGCUGGGCUUGUGCCCCGGGGCCCCGGCUUGCCUCUCGCGGCAGCCCGUCUGUGUAACCCCCCAGCUCCAGAGAGCAGCCUGCGGCCAGAUGUGACGGCUGGCGGGUGCCUCUGAGGUGCCAGGGGACGGAUGUCCAGGCGCUGGGCUUUAGCCGGCGCACGGGGUUGUACCCUGUGCCCUCGGAGAGGGGGCCGGGAGGGGGGGGCGGAAUUUUAUAGCGAGUGGUAGGAGGACACCGGCACGGGAUGAGCGACAACGCUUCAGGAGCCCAGGCGACAUCGCGGGUGCCUUUCCUAGGUGAGCUUGUGCAGGCUGGAGUUUGCAGAGCUGAGCGGCCCGAGCCCGCUGAGAGCAAGUGCUGCCCGGAGGCGGGAAGCAUCGUCUAAUCCUCCCCGCGCUGGGUUGUCCUGCACAGAGCACCCUUCGGCUUGUGCCAAGCUGCAGCGCUGCCACAGUGGAGGUAACAGAGGUAGUGGGUGACCAUGAGGCAACUUCAUAAUUGACAUAUCCGACGACUCGUAAAGGUUGCACCCUGAGGAGAGAAGUCCGUUUCCCAGGUUCCUCUGCAGAGACACCUUCAGAUUAGCCCCUUCCAUCUCCCUCCUGAGCACGGUUUAACAGAAGGACUCUGCAGAACGCAAGCUCCCAGAAAUGUUCCUGAGGAAAAUAACAAGGCAUGACAAAUCGGCUUUUGCCAAACCGCAGCAGUCACUUCACCAGCCAGUUCAAUUACUUACAGUACCAAAAAAACCCAAGGCUGGCUAGGAUGAAAGCCUUCUUCAAAGAGAAGGUAUUCUCCAUCAGUAAACAGAUCAUUACUCAUUAAAUAUACUGCUUAGGAACAUCUACAACAAAGCAGACUAUUUACUGCAGAUUUCUGUGGCAUUCAGUCUAUGCAAAACUCCUCUGCUUACAGCUGUACUUUAUAAAAAAAAUGCUGAAGCAAAGCAAAAGAAAGCAAGACUGGUUGGCUCCAGUUUAAGUUGAAAUGUACUUUAAAAAAAAAAAAAAAGGAAAAGAAAUAUGUAUUUACAAGGACAGAGAAGCCAGCAUCCAUACUCGGCUCGGUUCAGUGCGUACAGUUUAUCUGUAGUCAAAGACUCUACCGUGUUACCUGGACAUAACAUAGACAGUACACUGAAAGAUGUCUUCGGUAGAAAAAGAUGUCUGCUUUUAUCUCAUCUCCCAAAGUUAAUAGUUAUAUAAUCUUGACAUGACGAAUUGCAAGAUAUUUUAUUAUAGGGGAAAAAACUGCAGGAGGGUUUCAUAUUCGUGGUUAAUGUGCAAGGUUUUCCAUCAGGAGGCACAAGUCAACGCCGACAGAUACGUGACUUAAAAGUAUUGCAGCCCUUUAGCCAAGUUUCUGCUUCUGUGUCUGACUGUUCUUACUUCGCUACCUGAGGUGAGAAACAAUUAUUUCUGAUUUUUGAAGGACCAGCUGAACCCCGUGAGGAAGACGGGAACAGGCAAUGACAACGCCACUUUCAACACAGAUUCUUUGCUUCACUAUUCACUACCCUGACGGAAUCUAUCACGUUACCCUAUAAGGCAAAGAAACGGCCAUUUUUUAAAUGUAUCCAAGAAAACAGCUGCUUUCAAAGCAUGCUCCUACUCCCAGCAACCCCCUUUUACAGCAGCAUCCUUUUUCCAGUGGUGUUAGGCUAGUAGCAAGCAAAUUUAGUUUGAGGUAUGUGGGCAGUUUGCGCAUUUUCAAGUGGCAAUGAAAUGUAAUUGAAUACAGUUAUGUUCAAUUAACGUACUUAUGAUAAAACACAGGGCGUGUUGGACAGCAAGCACGUACACACCUAAGUGCACAGGUAGCUUCCCAAUUACUUCUCUUGAUGUUAAAGUUUAAUGCAGAGCUGUGUCAAAAAUAAAUUAAUAGCGUGUCACAUUGUCUGGCAUUAAAAAUCAUCUACUUUCUUUGGUCA